AUGCUGAUAUAUGAGUACACACCAAACAAAAGCUUGGAUCACUACGUCUUUGGUGGAGGUCUGUCAAUAUCUUGCAUCGGCUUUUGUUCUGGCCUGUAUUAACUUGCAAAAAUCCAGGAAGCACCCUGUAUCUUUCUUUUACAAUUUCAAUUCACCAAAGCAGAGUAGUUUAAUACUUGAAUGUGACUGCCUUGGCUCCUUCUCUCUUUGAUCCAGCAUGGUGAUGAUAACAAUUGCAGAAGUAGUGCUGCUUGCAUACUGAUAGGAUGCGUAUGAAGACCAAUGUUAUGAUAAGGGUUCUCUCAUGCAAUGUAAUUCGGAAUCAAGAUUUCUAGUUGAAUACGGCUGCUGGUACCAUGUCUCCCUUUGAACAUGGCGAGUUUUUUGUUCUUGAUGAUGGUGGAGAGGUCUUAUCACUGACAACUUGUAGUGCAGUAAUUGUUCCCUGUCAUGUUUCUUCAAACUGUAUCAAAGGUAGUGGAUGAAGAUAUUGGAGAUGAUGAAACCAAGUUUUGUGCCUCUAUAGUCAUCUAAGAUCACAUAGGAUAUCAACAUGUAAUAAGGAAUUAUUUAGUUGGUUUUAAUUGUAGCUUAGUUAACUAUUGUCAUCUAGGAUUAGAUAAGAUUAGAAGGUAUAGCUAGGAAUUAGUUACUAGAAUGUGCUUGUAGUCAAGUAUAUUGUAAUGAGUAAUAGAUACAAUGACAUUUGUUUUGGGAUUGUAAAGAUUAUUUGUAUGUAAAUGUGUUCUUUUUGUUUCAAGGACAUUUUUUUUUUUUGUGUUCUAUAAUAGAUAU
rnacentral:lncRNA from 1 species